rnacentral:tRNA from 1 species
GGCUUGCUGGUCUAGUGGUAUGAUUCUCGCUUUGGGUGCGAGAGGUCACGGGUUCGAUUCCGUGGAAGCCC